AUAAUGCUUUCAAAUGUGAUCUUGGAUCUUUCCUUCAUCUCUUGGUCCUUCACGCUCCAAUUCUUUUUCUUCUCUUUGUUUUUCCUUGCAUUUUGCAUAAUUCCAGAAAAUAGCAAAAGAGGCAGUAGCCUAGCAUCGAGCCGAUCUGGCAUUUCUUUCUUUCAGAAGCAAGCCCAGACCCUCCUUCCGGCCACUUGGCCAGCAUUUCUGAGCAGCCCACUCCCGUUUUCCUUUGAGGCCAACAACAGCACCGUGGCCUUUUUAGCUUUUGGCUGGCAAGGAGACGCCCUCUUCCUUCUUCCUUUCGUACGGCAACAAUCUCAGCAUGUCCACGUCGCAUGUUGGUCGAUGGGACGGUCGUCGUUCUUUCUCCCCCCGUAUAAAAUCCCCAGGUGUCUAGUGCGGCAACCCUAGCCCACCUACUUUUUCCUCUCCGCCGCCACUCUCUUUUUUCCUUCCCGUCCUCAUAAUCGCCGCCAAGCUGUUCGAGCUCCUCCUCGAUCUCCUCUGCCUCCACCCUGGUGCUCGACGGCGUCUUUCCGGUGUUCGCGACCAUGCAGCAUCAGCGCCUGCCGCCUCCGCCUCGUUCCCGUGCUUAGCCGCAUCGCCUCCAUCUACCUCGCCGUGUCGCUGCUUCCUCUGCGCGCGCAGCAGCUUGUCCAUGUCCGCCUCCACCUCACAGACUAGCGCGGCUCCCGGCACCAUCACGAACUCCAACGUGCUCCUGACCAGCUCCUCCGGCUGUUCGUCCGCGUGUGCGCCGCCAGGCCUCGCGACCGUCCGGCAGACGCUCGUCCCGGGCAUCGCUGCGCUCGCCCUCGCCGGCGCGUCUCCGUCGUCGCCUCAAGUUCGUCAUCUGUGUCUUUCCUUUACGUUGCCCAGGUCAAGGCGUGGCUUUUCCUGAUGAAAAGAGGCACCGUCUACUCCUUUGACAAGACCACGUACACAGUGUAUUUGUUGGGUCUGCGUCGUUUGAUCGUCGCGGCCGGACGGACACCUGGCAUAGAUCUUCAUCUUGGUCCGGCUCAAGAAGUGUCGCGACUGCUGCUGAUCAAAUCCCUGCAGUAACCAUCCAGUUCUCUUCCUGUCUGACAGCUGUGUCCCAAACGCUGUUUUCCUGUGCUAACUUCCGUCCCGUGAGAAAAGGAUCAACAUCCAGCAUUCAGUCAGCAAUCCCUGGCUCGGCCAGUCAAUGCCCUGGGAUAGCUUCUCAUGCGCAUUUGCUUCUUCUCGGAUAGGAUCGCGAAGUGGUGUUGUGAGAUACGGCAAGUCCUCCGGAUGUCCCUCGGCAAGCUUUAACAGGCAAGCAUUUUCCCCUAUACUUCUGCCCCUGCAGAAGUCGCUCACCUAUUUUAUUUUGCCUUCUCCCUCAUGCUAUCCUUGAGUUGCGUUCUUGUCACGUGUCCCUUCCACUUGUUACCUCAAGCCGCCUAUAUUGCCUCCACCAACCACCUACAGCUAUUGUUUGGUUAUCGGGUCUGCCUUGCGAGUCGUAGUGCAUGCUAGUGCUUUUAUAUCGUGUUACCGUUACUGCUAUCUUAUCGGGUUAUCUGUUGGGGAAUCAUGACACAUGGUUUAUGGAUAUAUCUGUUGAGGGUAUCAUGGUUACUUCUUAAUAGUUGUUAGCGGAGGCAUCGGUGGGUCAGCUGAUCGUUUUGUGACGGCUCACUUGUGUUUCUUUAAAACCUAGGACCCCGAGUUCUUGUUAUCUGUUCCGAGACUGAGCGCUCUAACCACACGUGGGUAUGCUUCUGGAUCUCCCCUCGACCACUGCCGGAAUCUACAGCUUUGUCCAGUGGCCACAACUAGUUUGCAAUGUUUUACCAUUUGUUGUUUGCGUGCAUGCUAGCUUGUUACUUAUUUAAUUUGGGAAGCCCCUGGGUGCCUUGUAUCCCUUGUUUCUGGUAUGCACGUAUAGGUCGUGGAGCCUCUGCGAAGUGGUUUAUCGCCCCAGUGUGUGUUUAAACCACCUAGCACGUUGACACACAUAGCUAAGUCCGCUUCGGAGAUACGGCCGGACUUCGAUACGGGUUCAACUUGGUUAGGUGGCUUCCUGGACAUUGUUGUCCUGAAGGAGAGUGCGAGUCGUGAUUUCCACCUGUCGCAAGUGGUUUGAUCGUGCGUGUGGGCACAUUUGGGCACCCCUGCAGGGUUAAAUCUUAUCGAUAAGCCGUGUCCGCGGUUAUGGACGACUUGGAGCUGUAUGACUCGACCAUAGACAACUUACACCCGUUGUUUCAAUACUAAUAACUUGCGUAGUAAGUUAGCACAACUUCAAUAAAACCUGGGUAAAACUUGUCAACUGUGUGAGUGCCCUUGUAAGUACUUCCUUGCGAGGGGGGAACGCAUUGGCUGUGUUAUGUUUGCAGAGUAUAGAAUUGUUAGUUACGCUCUCUCACCUUCUCUGAUAGACGACUGUUGUAGAGUGUCUCUAUAGGUUUUUAGUGCUUGCGCGCUGCCGCUUAACCCCACCAUAUUGCCUAUGACGUUCCUCUUGCGUCCUCUAAGUCCCCUGCGUGCCUCAAGUACAAAGGACGAUCGGUUGACGAAUGCUUA